rnacentral:misc_RNA from 1 species
UAAGUCCACGGAACUCUUAGGCCUCCUCAUCAGCAGCCGCAGCCUUGGAGCCACCAGCCUUCUUAGGCAGCAGAAGGUUGUGGAUGUUGGGCAUCACUCCACCAUUGGCAAUGGUAACAGUCCCCAGCAGCUUCGAGAGUUCUUCAUCAUUUCUCACUGCAAGCUGGAUGUGCCUUGGGACGAUCCUGGUCUUCUUAUUGUCCCUUGCGGCAUUCCCAGCUAACUCAAGAACCUCAGCGGCGAGAUACUCCAGCACGGCGGCGAGGUACACCGGAGCUCCGGCGCCGACCCGCUCGGCGUACUUGCCGGCCUUGAGGAAUCGAGCGAUCCUCCCCACCGGGAACUGAAGCCCCGCCUUGCUGCUCCUCGACGUCGCCUUCUUCGACCCGCCAGCGCCGAUCGCCUUCCCCCUUCCGGCCAUCGCUGAGAUCUAGAGAGAGG